CAUGUACUAGCAUGUGGGCGCUCUGAGCUGACUAUGGUGUAUUAAAACCUUUUUGUGUUAAACAAGAAUUUUUGUCCUUGACAAACUGCUGUGAAAAGCCGUUAUGGGUUC